GCGAAUCAGAAUGUCGCGGUGAAUACGUUCCCGGGUCUUGUACACACCGCCCGUCACACCAUGGGAGUCGGGAAUGCCCGAAGUCAGUGACCCAACCAUAUGGAGGGAGCUGCCGAAGGCAGGUCUGAUAACUGGGGUGAAGUCGUAACAAGGUACC
rnacentral:rRNA from 1 species